GUUGCCCAAGGUGACAACCCAAGAGGGGGGGGGGUGAAUUGGGUCUUUUAAAAACUUUUAAACUACUUCUAAUCUUUUAGAUUAAUUAUGCUAAGUUGUAUGGAUGCUUAGUGAAGCUUAACCUUAGCAAGAGUAUGAUUCUAAUCUAAUCAACUAUUAAGCAGUGGGUUUAAUAAAAGAUUAGUCUGAUUUUGCCCUAGUAUGCUAUUCAAUUUAAUGAUUGAGUAAAUUGAUUAUGCUUGCAACUAAAGGAUGCACGAAGAAGAGUUAAGCAAGCUUAAUAUCUAAGUAAGUGAGUGAGGAGGUCAGUCAACAAAGAGCAUCACAAACACAACAAAAAUAUAGU
rnacentral:lncRNA from 1 species